rnacentral:rRNA from 1 species
UGCAUGCUUUUACAGUAUGAAAAUUGGUGAUUUAUAAUAACUUAGCAAAUCGCAUAGUGAAAACAGGCGAUAAAUCAUUCAAGUUUCUGACCUAUCAGCUUUCGACGGUAUGGUAUUGGCUUACCGUGGCAGUGACGGUUAACGGGGGAUUAGGGUUCGAUUCCGGAGAGGGAGCCUGAGAAACGGCUACCACAUCUAAGGAAGGCAGCAGGCGCGCAAAUUACCCAAUUCUAACAGUUUGAGAGAGGUAGUAACAAGAAAUAACAAUACAAGGCAGUUAAAAUGCUUUGUAAUUGGAAUGAUAGAAAUUUAAACCCUUUUUAAAGUAUCAAUUGGAGGGCAAGUCUGGUGCCAGCAGCCGCGGUAAUUCCAGCUCCAAUAGCGUAUAUUAAAAUUGUUGCAGUUAAAAAGCUCGUAGUUGAAGUUCUGCUAAAAGUAACCGGUCUGCUUUGAAUAAAAGUGGUAUCUUGGUAUGUAUUUAGCAAUGAUGUCCUUUGAAGUGUUUUUUACUUUAUUGUAAUAAAGCAUAUUCAGGACUUUUACUUUGAGAAAAUUAGAGUGUUUCUAGCAGGCCAACGCUUUGAAUACUGCAGCAU